CGCCGCCUUCCUGACUUGUGCAGCAAUUCAUAUUAGCUACACCUUGAAAGCUGCCCAUAUGUCCAUCAACAAAUGAAUGGAUAAAGAAAAUGUGGUUUCUACACAAAAUGGAGUGCUACUCUGCCAUAAAGAAAGGUCCCAAUUCCAUUCUGCCUUCAAGUGGACUGAUGAGCUGGGUUGGAAUGAACAGCGUACCCAGACUGCUCUUCCACAAAGAUUCAGGUAGCAGGACACCAGUAUCUUCAAUAUCCAACCUGGAGGGAGUGUAUUUUCCCUAACAACCUGAAGAGCUUGGACAAAGGUUCUUCCCAGUUGAGACAGAUGAGACCACAUUCCGUCGCCUGAUUGCAGCUUCUUGGAUCCAUAAGAAAAUUGACACCCCUUCACCUGACCCUUCUGUCAAAGCUGCUAUAAUAUAAUCCAUGAGUCACAAUAUCUACUGAUGCUCCAAGAACCAAGGCUAAUUGGAUGCAUGAACAC
rnacentral:lncRNA from 1 species